rnacentral:rRNA from 1 species
GAUGAACGCUGGCGGCGUGCCUAAUACAUGCAAGUCGAGCGAACAGAUGAGGAGCUUGCUCCUCUGACGUUAGCGGCGGACGGGUGAGUAACACGUGGAUAACCUACCUAUAAGACUGGGAUAACUUCGGGAAACCGGAGCUAAUACCGGAUAAUAUAUUGAACCGCAUGGUUCAAUAGUGAAAGACGGUUUUGCUGUCACUUAUAGAUGGAUCCGCGCCGCAUUAGCUAGUUGGUAAGGUAACGGCUUACCAAGGCAACCAUGCGUAGCCGACCUGAGAGGGUGAUAGGCCACACUGGAACUGAGACACGGUCCAGACUCCUACGGGAGGCAGCAGUAGGGAAUCUUCCGCAAUGGGCGAAAGCUUGACGGAGCAACGCCGCGUGAGUGAUGAAGGUCUUCGGAUCGUAAAACUCUGUUAUUAGGGAAGAACAAAUGUGUAAGUAACUAUGCACGUCUUGACGGUACCUAAUCAGAAAGCCACGGCUAACUACGUG